rnacentral:rRNA from 1 species
AUUGAACGCUAGCGGCAGGCCUAACACAUGCAAGUCGAACGAGUGGCGGACGGGUGAGUAAUGUCUGGGAACCUGCCUGAUGGAGGGGGAUAAAUACUGGAAACGGUAGCUAAUACCGCAUACCAUCGGAUGUGCCCAGAUGGGAUUAGCUAGUUGGUGGGGUAAAGGCUCACCUAGGCGACGAUCCCUAGCUGGUUUGAGAGGAUGACCAGCCCCACUGGAACUGAGACACGGUCCAGACUCCUACGGGAGGCAGCAGUGGGGAAUAUUGCACAAUGGGCGCAAGCCUGCUGCAGCCAUCCCGCGUGUAUGAUGAAGGCCUUCGGGUUGUAAAGUACUUUCAGCGGGGAGGCGUUACCCGCAGAAUAAGCACCGGCUAACUCCGUGCCAGCAGCCGCGGUAAUAC